rnacentral:rRNA from 1 species
GGGUGAGUAACACGUGAGCAACCUGCCCCCGACUCCGGGAUAAGCGGUGGAAACGCCGUCUAAUACCGGAUACGACCGGCCACCUCAUGGUAGCCGGUGGAAAGUUUUUCGGUUGGGGAUGGGCUCGCGGCCUAUCAGCUUGUUGGUGGGGUAAAGGCCUACCAAGGCGAUUACGGGUAGCCGGCCUGAGAGGGCGACCGGCCACACUGGGACUGAGACACGGCCCAGACUCCUGCGGGAGGCAGCAGUGGGGAAUAUUGCGCAAUGGGCGAAAGCCUGACGCAGCGACGCCGCGUGGGGGAUGACGGCCUUCGGGUUGUAAACCUCUUUUACCACCAACGCAGGCUCCCAGUUCUCUGGGGGUUGACGGUAGGUGGGGAAUAAGGACCGGCUAACUACGUGCCAGCAGCCGCGGUAAUACGUAGGGUCCGAGCGUUGUCCGGAAUUAUUGGGCGUAAAGAGCUCGUAGGCGGCGUGUCGCGUCUGCUGUGAAAGACCGGGGCUUAACUCCGGUUCUGCAGUGGAUACGGGCAUGCUAGAGGUAGGUAGGGGAGACUGGAAUUCCUGGUGUAGCGGUGAAAUGCGCAGAUAUCAGGAGGAACACCGGUGGCGAAGGCGGGUCUCUGGGCCUUACCUGACGCUGAGGAGCGAAAGCAUGGGGAGCGAACAGGAUUAGAUACCCUGGUAGUCCAUGCCGUAAACGUUGGGCGCUAGGUGUGGGGACUUUCCACGGUUUCCGCGCCGUAGCUAACGCAUUAAGCGCCCCGCCUGGGGAGUACGGCCGCAAGGCUAAAACUCAAAGGAAUUGACGGGGGGCCCGCACAAGCGGCGGAGCAUGUUGCUUAAUUCGACGCAACGCGAAGAACCUUUACCAAGGUUUGACAUCACCCGUGGACCUGCAGAGAUGUGGGGUCAUUUUAGUUGGUGGGUUGACAGGUGGGUGCAUGGCCUGUCGUCAGCUCGUGUCGUGAGAUUGUUGGGUUUAAGUCCCGCAAACGAGCGCAACCCCUUAUUCCACAUUGUUGCCAGCACGUAGUGGUGGGGACUCCAUGGGAGAACCUGCCGGGGUCAACUCGGAGGAAGGUGGGGACGACGUCAAGUCAUCAUGGCCCCUUAUGUCUUGGGCUGCAAACAUGGCCUACAAUGGCCGGUACAAUGGGCGUGCGAUACCGUAAGGUGGAGCGAAUCCCUAAAAGCCGGUCUCAGUUCGGAUUGGGGUCUGCAACUCGACCCCAUGAAGGUGGAGUCGCUAGUAAUCGCGGAUCAGCAACGCCGCGGUGAAUACGUUCCCGGGCCUUGUACACACCGCCCGUCACGUCAUGAAAGUCGGCAA